CAAGGAGCUUUCUGUGAAGCUGGCGCGUGAGCGAUCCGGUGGAGAGAUCACUAGUGAGAAUGAUGACAUGAGUAGCGACAAAGGGAGUGAGAGACUCCCUCGCCGAAAGUCCAAGGGUUCCUGCUUAAAGCUAAUCUGAGCAGGGUAAGCCGACCCCUAAGGCGAGGCCGAAAGGCGUAGUCGAUGGGAACCAGGUUAAUAUUCCUGGGCCAGGAGGAUGUGACGGAUCUCGAAGGUAGUUCAUCCUUAUCGGAUUGAAUGGGCUGCUUAGAGGUUCCAGGAAAUAGCCCUCCAUGAGAUCGUACCCUAAACCGACACAGGUGGACUGGUAGAGAAUACCAAGGCGCUUGAGAGAACUCGGGUGAAGGAACUAGGC
rnacentral:rRNA from 1 species